rnacentral:rRNA from 1 species
GCUUUACAUUGUUAUUAGUUUUAUUUAUGUAGAAGUAAUUGAAUGAAAUUGAUAAGGGUGUUUUGUUGGGGUGACAGGAAGAUAAAAAAAACUCUUUUUAGAAUUUAAAUCAUUGAUGUAUGAAUUAUUGAUCCGUUAUUAAUGAUUAUAAGACUAAGU